rnacentral:lncRNA from 1 species
CCACCUAUGUUAAAUACAACCUUGGCUUCAUGGCCCGGAUGAAUGAAUAAAAUAAAUAAACAAAUAGAAUAAAUAAAGGAAACAAUAAUUAAAAAAAAUGAAAUAAUAAAUGAGACUUUUGUCUCUUAGCGGCUUAAAACGUGAACUUUGAUCCCUUUCCUUUCCUUCCGUCUUCUCGUAUCCAUAUGCCAAACGAUGGGCUUUUAGACCUUCUUUUGGGCUUAGUUCAACGAGGUGAGGCUCAUGGGCCCAUUUAAGGAAUACAAAGAGAGAAGGAACCCAUUUGAACUCCAAGGGAGGUGCAUGCAAGGAAAGGAAUGAAGAAAUUAUCAUACGUCUAAGAUUUUAACAAUUAAUAAGCUAUAGCAUUCAUGCUUCAUUCAAAUAAACUCACACACAGGUAAAAAUUUCACAGGAGGAAAAGUCUAUAAAGUUUGAAGAAAAUAUUCAUAAUCAAUUAAAGAAAUUUCAACUACAAGAGGAAAUAAAGCUUCAAAAAGAAAUUCCUAUGGUCUUUAGCGAAAUAAAGAUAACAAUUUAUCACUUUAAUGCCACAAAAGGACCCAAUUAAGCAUGUCACAAGAAAGAGUUACAACUCCUGGAUCCUACUACAUAAACCAUGGAUCACAAGCAACAUUCAAAUUCCAGAAUGCCAAACAUACAAAAUUAAAGACUUAAUCACUUUAGGCGAGGAAUACGAUAGCUGAAACUUCAAGAAAAGCAAGGCUAAAAUCUAUUGCCUUCGUUACCACUGGGUUAACAAACAAAUGAAAUUAAAACACUACAUAAACCCAAUUUUAGGUAAUUUAAUCAUGAGACAAGAUCCCACAACUUAAAAAGAAACUGUUAAGCGAAAUCCAAAUCACGAAACUUUAACCAUAAAAUCAAGUAUAACGAGAUACCAGUAGCCUAAAACUACUAAUCAAGAGUCAAAGUAUGAAACUUUAAUAACGGAACCAAUCUAUAACAAAAUACUAGCAACUCGAACUACUAAAAAUCGAAAUAUGACACUUUAGUAUGAAAUCAACUAUAACGGAGUACUAGUAUCCUGAACCAAAAUCAAAGCAUGCAACUUUACUAUGAAAAUAGCUACAAUGACACGCCAUUAUCCCAAAACAAUUUAACAGACUCAAAGCAAGAGACUUUAAACCAUGAAGCCAACCAUGACAACAUAUAAGCAGCCCGAAAUGACCAAGCAGAAUCAAACUUCAGACAUGAAACUAGCCUUAACAAGAUACCAGUAACUCAAAACAAAAUCAAAAGCAUGAAACUUUAAACAACAAACCAGCCUUACAAGAUACCCAACAACUCAAAACAGAAUCGAAGAACAUGAAACCUUAACAUAAAGUUAACUACAAACCUUAAGUAGUAAACAAAAAUGAGAGUAUUAAUUCAGACAUCUAUCAACAGCUACAUACAACUAUCAAAGCCAUCUACCAGCAAUCAAUCCCAGCAUGCAAUGUUAUUCAAGAUUUGCUUACAACUACAGAAGGUCCAGAUAAAGCAGAGGAAAUUGAAAGCUUAAAUGGAGUAGGAUAUUACCUUUUAGGGAGCAGCAAACAGAACAAACAGGCUAAAGUCGGGAUCCACCACCACCAGCAAUCAGUGAUAUCAACUCAAAAGCCUCUGAUUAAUCGGCUAAUUUUCAAAAGAAGAAAGAAAAGACAACUUUUUAUUGUGAAAGAAAACUCUUAGACGUCAGAAAUUUUCCCCUCUUCUUUCUUUUCAAAAAAAUUUUCUCUAACCAAAGUUUUCCCGAACCCCUUUUUCAAACCUCAAUUUUCAAACCAAUUUUCUCCCUAAAAUUCCUAACCCAAGAAUUUUCCCCCCCCAACCCCCUUUUUCACUCAACAGUGAGUUGUUUAUAUAGAAGGGGAAUGGGGGGUCUCUUCUCAGUCUUGAACGUUGUGGGAAAAAGCAAAUAAAUGGUAAUUUCGGGGAUUUUUCCAAAAGGAAUUCAAAAUUUGAACUCAAGAUAACGUUUUCCACCAACAACUCGUACAGAUUUUGGAAUUUUCUUGAUGAAAUCCAAAAUUCUCCAACAAAUGGAAUUGAAGGGAUCAAAUUUCUUUACCAACCAAUAGAAAUUGAGUAGGUGUGUACGAAUUCAUACUAUGGUACCCGAGAUUCAUGGGAUUGGAUUGUUGGAGGGGGCUAACUCACCAUAUUCUAAAAGAUUCGACCAAUUUCUUUGUGAAUAUGCAUGGGUCAGGGUCAAGUAGACUCAAAUAGAGUUGGGUCGAUUUUUUUUUACGCUGGUUUGGGUCUAUUUGGUGGAUUCGGGUCGGGUUUCACUGGUCUUUAGAGAUUAAGGACGUUGAUUAGGAUUUGGCUGGUGUUAAGGCGGAGAUUGGAGUUGUUUUGUCUAGUUGUUGUCGUGGUUUACUGUUUGAAGAAACAAAGGGACGGGCCCAGGUCAGAUUGUGAAUUGGGCUUAGGGCUGGUGUAGUGGAUUUGUAAUUGGGUUACGACUAAUGGGUUGGAGCAAUGGGACUGAUUGGAAUUGUUUUUUUAUUUGGAAAAUAAUGUAGGCUGGUUGUUGGAGAAAAUAUGCCUGUGGUUCGAU